UCACUCACAAUUAAUGGUAUAUCUGUCUCUCUACAAACCCCCAAACCCCAACAAACACAAGCUAAACCUUCUCAAUCCCUCUCUUUCGCGACCCAGAAAUGGCCGCCACAGCCUCCUCCUCAUAAACCCAUUCACCUUGUUCCUCCUCUUCUUUCGCAGAUUCUUUCUCUUUGGGUUUUGUUUUUAUCGGAGAGUUUGAUUUGGGAAUCCGAUCUUUUUCUUCAUCGAUCUUCAGUACCGGUUGUUUGGGGGUUUCUUUUCGGGUGAAAGUUAGGGUUUUAGGGUUUUAAUUUCUUUUCGGGUUGUUUGGGGGUUUCUUUUCGGUUGUUUGGGGGUUUGAUUUCGGGUAAAAGCUUUGUCAUUAAAUAUGAAGGUUCAGUCAAGAAUGGAGAUUCUGACUGCUUUGUCUUAGAGCAUGUUGAACAUGAUAGGCCUGAGGUGUUGAAGAGUGAAAUAAGCGUUUGUCAGCUUCAGUAAUAUGGCUAUUGUAUGUUUAUGGAAGCAUGUAUACUAUUAUAAUCUAGCAAUGUUCUUCACGAAGAAGGGCAAUCUCAGAACACUAUAAAGAGAAUUUCUAGAAAAGCCAUGCAGGGAUUUAACAUGAUACCAUAUCAUUUGGAGAACGAAGAUUCCGAGGAGGAGGCUAUUAUCUUGAAUCGUCGCAAUGGCAAUUACAAUUCAAAGGAUGCUACUUUAUGCUACACUUUACCCAUUCAUGGAUAUGGAGCUCCUAAUAAUAAGCUUUUCUUGACGUGAGUGAGUUUCUGAAGUGAAAGCUUUUGUAUUUAUGUUGUGUUUCUACUUACUUACUUACUUGUCUAUCACACAUUUUAUCGAACACUUUGUGAUAUCAUCUUUUGUAUUAUAUUGGUUUCAUUUUGAGGCACUUCUUGAUAUCAUCUUUUCCUUUUUGUUUUUAUUUU